rnacentral:tRNA from 1 species
CAAAGCAUCUCGCUUACACCGAGAAAAUCUCUGUGAAAACCAGAGUAUUUCGA